AGAGUUUGAUCAUGGCUCAGAUUGAACGCUGGCGGCAGGCCUAACACAUGCAAGUCGAGCGGUAGCACAAGAGAGCUUGCUCUCUGGGUGACGAGCGGCGGACGGGUGAGUAAUGUCUGGGAAACUGCCUGAUGGCGGGGGAUAACUAGUGGAAACGGUAGCUAAUACCGCAUAACGUCGCAAGACCAAAGUGGGGGACCUUCGGGCCUCACGCCAUCAGAUGUGCCCAGGUGGGAUUAGCUGGUAGGUGGGGUAACGGCUCACCUAGGCGACGAUCCCUAGCUGGUCUGAGAGGAUGACCAGCCACACUGGAACUGAGACACGGUCCAGACUCCUACGGGAGGCAGCAGUGGGGAAUAUUGCACAAUGGGCGCAAGCCUGAUGCAGCCAUGCCGCGUGUGUGAAGAAGGCCUUCGGGUUGUAAAGCACUUUCAGCGAGGA
rnacentral:rRNA from 1 species